CCUUGACAUACUAAGAACUUUCCAGAGAUGGAUUGGUGCCUUCGGGGAACUUAGAUACAGGUGCUGCAUGGCUGUCGUCAGCUCGUGUCGUGAGAUGUUGGGUUAAGUCCCGNAACGAGCGCAACCUUUUCCUAUUUGCCAGCGGGUCAUGCCGGGAACUUUAAGGAUACUGCCAGUGACAAACUGGAGGAAGGCGGGGACGACGUCAAGUCAUCAUGGCCCUUACGGCCAGGGCUACACACGUGCUACAAUGGUCGGUACAAAGGGUUGCUACCUCGCGAGAGGAUGCUAAUCUCAAAAAGCCGAUCGUAGUCCGGAUCGCAGUCUGCAACUCGACUGCGUGAAGUCGGAAUCGCUAGUAAUCGCGGAUCAGAAUGCCGCGGUGAAUACGUUCCCGGGCCUUGUACACACCGCCCGUCACACCAUGGGAGUUUGUUGCACCAGAAGUAGGUAGUCUAACCGCAAGGAGGACGCUUACCACGGUGUGGCCGAUGACUGGGGUGAAGUCGUAACAAGGUAAGCGUAGAUGA
rnacentral:rRNA from 1 species